GAUGAAGAACGUAGUGAAAUGCGAUAAGUAAUGUGAAUUGCAGAAUUCAGUGAAUCAUCGAAUCUUUGAACGCACCUUGCGCCCUUUGGCCAUUCCGAAGGGCAUGCCUGUUUGAGUAUCAUGAACACCUCAACUCUUCAUGGUUUUCCAUGAUGAGCUUGGACUUUGGGGGUCUUGCUGGCCUGUGGGUCGGCUCCUCUCAAAUGAAUCAGCUUGCCGGUUUUUGGUGGGCAUCACAGGUGUGAUAACUAUCUACGCUUGUGGUUUUCCACCAGGGUAACCUUCAGCAGUGGAGGUUCACUGGAGCUUACAAAUGUCUCUCCUCUGUGAGGACAGCCCUUUGAAUGUUUGAUCUCAACUCAGGUAGGACUACCCGCUGAACUUAAGUAUAUCAAUAAGCGGAGGA
rnacentral:misc_RNA from 1 species